rnacentral:ncRNA from 1 species
UAGAAAAAACCCAUUUUUGGGUAGAAAAAAAAACUAAUUCAUAUCGAUUUUGGCGGCAUUGUUGGUGCUUUGAGAAAAUCCCCCUUGGAUUUGUCUUUGUCGUUGUCUCCCCGUUGUAUCUUGCUCUAUCUUUGUCGAUGCUAUCAACUGUUCACUUUUGGGGUGCUCUGAUCCAUGGAAACUACUACUCCUCGAAUUGUUUGUCUUCCCUAUUUGUCUCCCUAGUGAAAGAAGUGUAGCCACAUGGCCUAUAUUUUCUCCUGGUUGUGUUGAAACCUUACUUUCCUGUCACCUCCUACCUGUUUAUAUUCUCUAUGCCUUGACCGAAGAAAAUCUUGCUAUGUCUCUGUCACUGGCUUUGUCUUGCUCUAUCUUUGUCUCUCUUUCUCUGGCUCUGUCUCUGUUGUUGUCUCUCUUUCUCUAAUCAAAUCCCCUUUGAUCGGUUCUCUCUUAAUUUGUCUCUAUCGAUGUCGCGCUCUACCUCCAACUACUAACUAACUAUGGAAUGGGCGUUGGCGCGGGCGCAUGCUUAUUGUUUGGUUUUUUUGGGUGUUUGAAUUUUUAUGUUUUUUAAUUUUAUUGUUUUGUUUUAUAUAUAUAUAACCUUAUAAUAGUCAACUCAGAGUUGGUUUGGACAAGGGGAAUCUGACUAUUUAAUUAAAACAAAGAAUUGCGAUGGUCCCUGCAGAUGCUGACACAAUGUGAUUUUUUCCCUGUGCUUUGAAUGUUAAAGUGAAGAAAUUCAACCAAGCAUCGAUAAACGACAGGAGUAAAUAUGAUUCUCUUAAGGUAGCCAAAUGCCUUGUCAUCUAAUUAGUGAUGCACAUGAAUGGAUUAACUAGAUUCCCACUAUCCCUAUCUAUUGUCUAGUGAAACCACGACCAAGGGGAUGGGCUUGGAGUAAUCAACAGGGAAAGAAGACCUUGUUGAGCUUGACUCUAGUAUGACUUUGUGAAAUGACUUGAGAGGUGUAGAAUAAGUGGGAUUCUUUUUCAACACAAAUUAAAUACCACUGCUUUUAACGUUAUUUUACUUAUUAUGUGGGGCGGAGAGGGGCAUUUACCCUAUUUUUGGCCUUAAGACAUGUUUCGAUGGGUCGAUCUGGGCACAUUUUCAGGGGGGGAUUUUGGAUGGGGUGACACAUCUGUUAAAAGAUAACAUCAAAUAUAAUUGGUGUAGAUAGAACAUUUUUAUUUGGGAGAUCCUAGUGCACAACCACCCUUAUUACAUUUCCCUCUUAAUUUUUAGUUACAUCCAAUAAUUUAUAAAUUGAAUCUAGUCUCCUCACUUGCACAAUAUGGAUAGAUGUGUGAACCCUGCCCCUCAUUUUCUAGUACCAUGAGAUGGGAUAUCCCUAACCAUGAACCAAAUGUUCCUAAGGUUUCCAAGGUUAUCUCUUCUAACUUAGAUUUCUUAGUCCCUACCCAUGAUAUUAAAGAUGUCAAAACCCAUGUCCAUGAGCCUAUGGCUACAUACAAAGGGGAAAAAAAAGUGGACACAAAAAUGCCACCCAUUCCUCCUCAGGGUCCUCCCUAGGAUCUUGUUGUAUCUCAUAAUGUUGCA